GAUCGCGUAAUGUUCGCAUAAUCUGGGGAAUAUGAACAAUCCGUUCCGUUCUGGAGAAAAACAGCAAAGGGGUAGUUGGUGGCUUGGAUGAGGAGCGUCUGAAGGACAACUGCGUCUCUUCCACUGCGGUGGCAGGUCAGGGAGAGCGGUGUUCAGUUUAGCACAAUGUUUGGACAGAGCUGCUCUGCCUCACCUCAACAAACCACGAGUCAAACAAGCCAUCUCCCCCAUUUCAUCUCUGGAACAGCAACCCUGUGAGAUCAGAAAAACCAAGCUGCCCAGAAGCCUGCAGAAUGAUGGAGGCCCAUAACAGAAAAAGAAAAACCGAAACCACGCUCCCCACCACUGGCAACGUUCAGGGCAGCUUGUCAGAAGCCAUCCGGCUGAGCUUAUGCAUCUGAGAAGUUGCAUCUUCAGAAGAAGCCUGAAUUAGCAUGAAGACAGAUGAGUUGGAGGUAGAUUAAAACUUCCUUUCCACCAAUCUGUCAGAUCAAAUUUUUCCUUUCUUUCGUCCCAUGCGGCAUCACCCAAACUUACCCACUUGCUCUGGGGCGGUGGGAAUCACCAACACUCCAUCCCACAGGUUGCAAUCAGCAUUUUGGGUUUCAAUGUUCUCCUUCUCUGCAGUGAAGGAAAGCAGACAAACAAAGCUCCUUUUCCCACCUGGCUUACAGAGGCCUUAGAAAUCACCUGCCAGGGAAGGAGCCAGGAGGCAUCAUGUAACAAGUGCAUGGGGGGGGGGGAAGUUCUGUAGGAAAUUAUACAUGGCUCCUCCCUCGUAAGAGAUAUAUGGAAUAUUCAGCAGCAGCAGCAGCAGCAGCAGCAGCAGCAGCAGCAGCAGCAGCAGCAUCGAGGCCCGGGAAAGGAAGGAGGCAGAUCAACUGAAGGAAUAAAGGGGAUAACAUUGGGAGAAAAUUCCAUUCAGGAGGCCGCUACGUUAUGGAGACUUUCUAAACAUACAUGCAUCUCGAACUAGUUCACGCUACCGCCCACAUUCUGCAACAAACCCCUCCCUGCCUCCUUGGAUUUCUCUUUCCCCAUCUGAGCUUGCGUGCAGGUGCAGCUUAAAAGUUUGUAGCCAGAUUAAUUUCCCAUGCCCUGUGGCAGUACUGCAUUCCCCAAACAAGGUCAGCUUCGGCAGUUUUAACGCCAUGUAGCUGUGAUGGAUGCCAGACAGCCUGAGAAGGCCCAUCCACACUCCAAAACUUGGUUAAUUCAGUGAGCAAGUGGGCCAUCCAGUGGGCCAUCAAUUCAGCCCCUAUUUCGAGCCUCACUCCACCACUGACUCAGGGCAGCAAGAUCAGCCCACCCUGCUGGUUGAAGGUCAGGCCUGGAUUUAAUUGGUUUCUUGUAUGUCUUAUUGGGGGGGGGCAAGCCCCAUUGAGUUUUAGAAUAAAAUAAUCUAUUUUGAAAAAUCCAAAUAAUGCAGUUUAGCAUUUGUAUUAGAGCUACUGCUCGGUGAAUAUAACAGGGUUUUGUCCAAACCAGGCUAAGCCAUGGCAUGUCACAGCGGCCCAGAUACUGACACUCAAUCUGUCAAUUCAGGAUCACCAGCCACUAUCUGGGUGGUCAUUUGGAUCCCCCCCCCCUUAGCUGUGGGGUGCUGGAUUUCUUCCAGAAUUCCCUCCCUCGCUACUCUCUUUCACAUAAAGGCAUUCUUCUUUCAACAAUGGCUAGCGGGGCAGCGCUUGUUCAAAAGCCGCUGGCCCCUAGAAAAGCAGGGGGAGGAAAGAGGAGAAAAAUCCUGCCAGCAGCCGCAGGGCUUUUAUGGAGGGAGGGUCGGAAGCGCGGCUGUCUCAAGAGCACGGUAGGUGCGAGGUCAUUGGCAACGAAGGGCGGAAGGUGGGUGAAGGUGGAACAGCAUCUCCAAGUUGAUGCUUUCCAUGCUGGCUGAAGCAAACGGGAACUGCCCCGCCAGGCGUGUGGGAAGCACAAAGUUGGGGAAAGCCGAGGAGCUGGCUGAAGUAUGGACCCCAAGCAGGAUGUUCAAACUAGUCCUUUUGGGGGGAGCUUUUUUAUAUAUUUGGCACUCGCCCCAUGGUUCGCUGACCGUGCUUUCAGAAGGGAGCGGAAACAAGGCCUCGCUUCCAGGUAACUCAGCCCACCGUGCCGAAUAUGUUAAGUUGCCUGAGUGAAGAAGGGGAACAAUGAACAAAGAUGCCUCUCUCGUACCAGCGCUCUUUCAGGGAGAGAGUUUUCCAGGAGGACUGACGUGAAGUAUUUCCCAGUCUGGGGGAGAGUUCGUAACAAUGCAGGACUUCUUGCUCCACACAAAGCUCACUCCCAGCGCUAUCUGGGCUGCUUUAGACACAGCCCUUUUCCCGAAUGUCUUGGAGGUCGUCUGCAUUCACCUCCUGAAUCUCCAGGGAAAAAAAAAGGGGGGG